GCCCAGACUCCUACGGGAGGCAGCAGUCGGGAAUAUUGCGCAAUGGAGGAAACUCUGACGCAGUGACGCCGCGUAUAGGAAGAAGGUUUUCGGAUUGUAAACUAUUGUCGUUAGGGAAGAUAAAGGACAGUACCUAAGGAGGAAGCUCCGGCUAACUACGUGCCAGCAGCCGCGGUAAUACGUAGGGAGCGAGCGUUAUCCGGAAUUAUUGGGUGUAAAGGGUGCGUAGACGGCGAGGUAAGCCUGAAGUGGAAGCCCGCGGCCCAACCGCGGAACUGCUUUGGGAACUGUUUUGCUGGAGUAUGGGAGGGGUAAGCGGAAUUCCUGGUGUAGCGGUGAAAUGCGUAGAUAUCGCGCAGAACUCCGAUUGCGAAGGCAGCAUGCCUGCUCCACACUGACGCUGAGGCACGAAAGCGUGGGUAUCGAACAGGAUUAGAUACCCGAGUA
rnacentral:rRNA from 1 species